rnacentral:misc_RNA from 1 species
GAUGAAGAACGCAGCGAAAUGCGAUAAGUAAUGUGAAUUGCAGAAUUCAGUGAAUCAUCGAAUCUUUGAACGCACAUUGCGCCCGCCAGUAUUCUGGCGGGCAUGCCUGUUCGAGCGUCAUUUCAACCAUCAAGCCCCCGGCUUGUGUUGGGGACCUGCGGCUGCCGCAGGCCCUGAAAACCAGUGGCGGGCUCGCUAGUCACUCCAAGCGUAGUAAUACAUCUCGCUCAGGGCGUGCUGCGGGUUCCGGCCGUUAAAAAGCCUUAUUUACCCAAGGUUGACCUCGGAUCAGGUAGGAAGACCCGCUGAACUUAAGCAUAUCAAUAAGCGGAGGA